rnacentral:misc_RNA from 1 species
GGACCGACCCUUGAAACUGAGUACGUAAUACAUCAGAAUCAACAAUUCAAUGUUUAGAAUCAUGUUAUCGACAGCAAGAUGAGCGAGCCAUCGAAAUCAGGAAAUCGGAGUUUCCUAGUUCACAGAGUUAAAAUAGGAACAUCAGAGGAGAAAGAAUGUACAAUUGGAAAUUAAGGGUAAUCAAGCAUCAUCUGCAUCACUUCCACCAACAUGU